ensembl:lincRNA
CCAGUGUCUUUUGUUCUAAUGAGGCAACUCUGGGUGGGCUCUUGAGCCUUCCUGGAUGGGGGCUGGCCACCAGGAAGGCCAAGUCAGGAUGAGAAGCUUGGACAUUUCUGCCCCACCCCAUCAUUCCCUAGAAAGCGCAGAGAGGCUGGAAACGGGGUUGACAAUUGAUCCUGCCUGCCUGAGGCAGCCACCACAAAACCCCAAUAGUGUGGGGCAUGGGGAGCUUCCAGGUUGGUGAGCACUGGGAGGGUGAACGUGGAGACAGAGACUCCUGCCCUCCCAGACCUCACCUGUGUGUCUCUUCAUCCGGCUGCUCAUCUGUGUCCUUUAUCAUACCCUUUAAUAAAAGAGGCCAACAUGGAUCUUCCCUUCGACACCAGCUGAGUCCGGAGGCUUCAGGCCUUGGGAGACCAUGGAAGGGGACAGCCGCCGGUUUCCCCACUUACAAAACGAGAGGGUUGGACAAACUGCCCCGAGGCCCUUUCCUGGUUCCGUGACCGUCUCUGGAAUCACACAGAGUGGAAUUACAGCUGUGCCACCACGGAGAUGCACGUUGCUUCUUUAAAAAUAGUGUGUAUUUUGUGUUUUUUCAUAAGGCUUCACAUUCUUAAUUCUUAAAAAGAAGUGUCACAUUAAUUAAAGAAAGACAGGAGUAGACCCACUGAUAAAGCAACAAUUCUCUGUAGAGUGGCUCUUCCCCUCCUGCGUCUACUUAAAGUGGAGCAGGUUUUCCAAGACCACUUGAGAAUGGCUGGAGAUCCCAAGUCUGGUCCAGGAUGAGGCAGCCUCUCUACAGGAGGCUUGUCAGGUUCCCAAGAUGGCAGACAGCAGGCUCAGGUGACUCUGCCACUCCCUAGACCCUAAAGUGUAGGCACCCCCUAGGACCUCCGGCACCUGCCCUUCGUCCCUGCAGGUAUGCAGCCCUCACCUGAGACCUCUGGGUUCCGGGUCGGCACUGGUGCUGAGCAGCCUUCCACCAAGCCCAGCCUGCCUUGCCGCCCCCUGUGUUGUCCCUGUGACCUGGCAAAUGUGAGCGUCAGUGUGGGGGGGUGUGUGCGUACGGGGCUGCAGGCUGGGUGCUGGGCAGGAAGACCGACUGAUGUAACAAUAGCCACUUAGCUUAAGUGUCUUGGGUAAGUGUUUUGGCAAAACAGCUUCCUCUUGGUAUGGCAACAACGGGGGUGGAUGAUGCCCAGCCAGGCAGGGAGGAUGCUGGACUGGGGUAUGAGGGAAGUUAGCACAGGGAACCCCGGGCUUUGUCAGCCAAGUGGAGGCCUUGAUAAAGCCAGGUGGAGUCUGUGGUAGGGUAGCAGUACCCAGGACUGCCCACGGGGCUCCCAUUCAUAGCAACCCUGAACUGUGUCAACACCCCACCAUUGGCAGAGAGGGGACAUAAGGAGAAACUGAGGAACCAAGUUCCUGGGAAACCAAACAUUGUUUGCUUGGCAAUAGGGAGUACUCAAUACUCCUUGAACUAUUUGAUUAAUGAGUGAAUGAAUGAAUAGGAAGGUGUUUUCAUUCUGGCCUAGUAGUGAUCCCCAGCUUUUUCACAUGUUUAAGAGGCAUCAUAAACUAGAAGGAACUUGAGCUCCCAAUCAUGCUGGCAAUUUUCAAGUUCUUUGUAGCAGCAGCCUCUUUCAUUCAGAUGAAAUCUUAUCUGGAACCCAUUGUAUCAAACUGAAAAGUUAAUCUGCUCUGUUUAAAGUGGGAUAAAGGACUUUUUACUUACUAAGCUGGAUUCCAAGGCGUCUCCAUGGAACUUCGAAUGCUCAGUAGAAACUUGUCUGAAAAUAGCUGGUUGUUUUUUAAAAUUUAUUUUAAAUUUUUUAUUUUGUAAUGGGGUAUACCAGCCCGGUAACAAACAACAUUGUGAUAGUUUCGGGUGAACAGGGAAGGGACUCAGCCAUACAUAUACCUGUAUCCAUUCUCCCCCAAACUGCCAUCCUAUCCAGGCUGCCACAUAACACUGAGCAGAGUUCUCUGUGCUAGACAGUAGGUCCUUAUUGGUUAUCCAUUUUAAAUAUGGCAGUGUGUACAUGUCCAUCCCCAGCUCCCUGACUAUCCCUUCCUGCCUUCCUCCCGCCCCACACGCCCCAGCAACCGUAAGCUCAGUCUCAGAGUCUGUGAGUCUGUCUCUGGAAAACAGCUGAUUGUUCUAUCCCUUCAUUGUGUAAAGUUGCCAGCUCCAGAAAGGAAUGCCGUUAUCCCUCAGGUCACAGAGCUGGUUCAGAGCAGAAGCAAGACUCCCUGGUGCCUUCAGUGCAUGGGGCGAGGGGCGCCUCACAGCUCCGGC